AUUGAACGCUGGCGGCAUGCCUUACACAUGCAAGUCGAACGGCAGCACGGGUGCUUGCACCUGGUGGCGAGUGGCGAACGGGUGAGUAAUACAUCGGAACGUACCUUAUCGUGGGGGAUAACGCAGCGAAAGCUGUGCUAAUACCGCAUACGCCCUGAGGGGGAAAGCGGGGGAUCGCAAGACCUCGCGCGAUUAGAGCGGCCGAUGCCUGAUUAGCUUGUUGGUGGGGUAAAAGCCCACCAAGGCGACGAUCAGUGGCUGGUCUGAGAGGACGAUCAGCCACACUGGGACUGAGACACGGCCCAGACUCCUACGGGAGGCAGCAGUGGGGAAUUUUGGACAAUGGGGGCAACCCUGAUCCAGCAAUGCCGCGUGAGUGAAGAAGGCCUUCGGGUUGUAAAGCUCUUUUGUCAGGGAAGAAACACCGGCUCUAACACAGUCCGGGAAUGACGGUACCCGAAGAAUAAGCACCGGCUAACUACGUGCCAGCCGCCGCCGUAA
rnacentral:rRNA from 1 species